rnacentral:rRNA from 1 species
UACGUAGGGGGCAAGCGUUGUCCGGAAUCAUUGGGCGUAAAGCGCGCGUAGGCGGCCCGGUAAGUCCGUUGUGAAAGUCAAAGGCUCAACCUUUGAACGCCGAUGGAUACUGCCGGGCUAGAGUCCGGAAGAGGCGAGUGGAAUUCCUGGUGUAGCGGUGAAAUGCGUAGAUAUAGGAAGGAACACCAGUGGCGAAGGCGACCACCUGGACUGAUACUGACACUGAGGUGCGAAAGCGUGGGGAGCAAACAGG